UACGAGAGGCCCAAACGUUAUUCGGAAUUACUGGGCUUAAAGAGUUCGUAGGCGGCGCAGAAAGUAGGGUGUGAAAGCCCUCGGCUUAACCGAGGAAUUGCGCUCUAAACUACUGUGCUUGAGGAAUCUAGAGGUGAGCGGAACUGAUGGUGGAGCGGUGAAAUGCGUUGAUAUCAUCAGGAACACCGGAGGCGAAGGCGGCUCACUGGGGAUUUUCUGACGCUGAGGUGCGAAAGCGUGGGGAGCAAACAGG
rnacentral:rRNA from 1 species